UUACCUGGCCUUGACAUGCACGUAGUAGGAGGGUGAAAGCCCGACGAGGUAGCAAUACCCGCGUGCACAGGUGCUGCAUGGCUGUCGUCAGCUCGUGUCGUGAGAUGUUGGGUUAAGUCCCGCAACGAGCGCAACCCUUGUGUCCUGUUGCGAUCCUAACGAGAGUUGGGAGCACUCUGGACAGACUGCCUCGCUUAAACGAGGAGGAAGGUGAGGAUGACGUCAAGUCAGUAUGGCCCUUACGGCCAGGGCUGCACACGUACUACAAUGCCCGGCACAAAGGGAAGCUAGACCGCAAGGUGGAGCAAAUCCCCGAAAACCGGGCCCAGUUCAGAUUGUCGUCUGCAACUCGACGGCAUGAAGUUGGAAUCGCUAGUAAUGGCGCAUCAGCUACGGCGCCGUGAAUACGUUCCCAGGCCUUGUACACACCGCCCGUCACAUCAUGAAUGCCGUUUGUACCCGAAGUCGCCCCUUAAAAGGUGCCGAAGGUAUGGAUGGUGAUUGGGAUGAAGUCGUAACAAGGUAGCC
rnacentral:rRNA from 1 species